AAACAAGAUCUUGAGAGAAGGGCAGCGAGGGGCCAGCGGAAAUCUAGCCCAGGAGAUGGAGGUGUGAAGACACAGAGUGAAUGAACCGCGAGCUAGAGACAGCAUGCUUUUCAACUCCUCUUGGUGUUUCUGGGUUGCUGACUUAUCAGUAUCCAGUCCGGGAUAUACAAGCUAUCAUGAGGUAAACAGCUUCCUCUGCACAUGCUCCCAUCAUCAUGUGCUGCCUCACCACAGGCCCCAAAACAACAGGACCAACUGACCAUGGACUGAACCUCUGACACUGUGAGCCGAAUUAACCUCUUUAUAAAUUAUUUCAGGUAUUUUGUCACAGUGAUGGAAAGCUGAUUAACACAAAUUUGAAUUUGUGUAAGAAACCUAAUUACCAAAUAUUUAGUGACUUAAAAGACUGAAAACUUACUAUUUUAAGAUUUUGGUGGUCAGAAGUCUGACAUGUGUCUCACUGGACUAAAAUAAAG
ensembl:lncRNA